rnacentral:rRNA from 1 species
UACGUAGGGGGCGAGCGUUGUCCGGAUUUAUUGGGCGUAAAGUGUGCGCAGGCGGCAGAGCAAGUCGAGUGUGAAAGCCCCGGGCUUAACUUGGGAAUUGCGCUCGAAACUACUUUGAUGGAGUGUGGCAGAGGAAGGUGGAAUUCCACGUGUAGCGGUGAAAUGCGUAGAGAUGUGGAGGAACACCAAUGGCGAAGGCAGCCUUCUGGGCCAACACUGACGCUCAUGCACGAAAGCGUGGGGAGCAAACAGG